rnacentral:rRNA from 1 species
GAACGCUAGCGGCAGGCCUAAUACAUGCAAGUCGGACGGGAUCCAUCGGAGAGCUUGCUCGAAGAUGGUGAGAGUGGCGCACGGGUGCGUAACGCGUGAGCAACCUACCUCUAUCAGGGGGAUAGCCUCUCGAAAGAGAGAUUAACACCGCAUAACAUCAACAGUUCGCAUGUUCGGUUGAUUAAAUAUUUAUAGGAUAGAGAUGGGCUCGCGUGACAUUAGCUAGUUGGUAGGGUAACGGCUUACCAAGGCGACGAUGUCUAGGGGCUCUGAGAGGAGAAUCCCCCACACUGGUACUGAGACACGGACCAGACUCCUACGGGAGGCAGCAGUAAGGAAUAUUGGUCAAUGGGCGGAAGCCUGAACCAGCCAUGCCGCGUGCAGGAUGACUGCCCUAUGGGUUGUAAACUGCUUUUGUCCAGGAAUAAACCUAAAUACGUGUAUUUAGCUGAAUGUACUGGAAGAAUAAGGAUCGGCUAACUCCGUG